rnacentral:lncRNA from 1 species
UGGGCCCCCAACUAACCAAUAAGGUGCGAGUUUGUGACCCUACAAUUUUGUCGAUGCAAGGCUAACUGAAGUCCUUGAUGCAAUCGGCUAUCUAUCGGCUAUCCCGAGCCUGAAAUGUGGAGAAUUGAGGGUGGUGAGAUUAUAAAAUCCCAGUGAGUAAACAAAUACCAUCUAAACCAUCUAAAGUCGAGUAAAUGGAGACAAGUAAGAUAUUCCAUUCCAGUAUGUUUUUCAUAACAUCAAUAAUCAAUUUACUCAAAUAAUCAACUUGGCUUAUGUAUUUCAUAAAACUUGGCUCCUGCCAAAAUCAUUCCCGGGGAUGCCUUGGCCUAAGCAUCUGAUCGAGACUACCAAGGCUGUUCAGUGUAGUACACACAUGAACAUAUUUGUACAUUUGAAAAUCUAGCCAUGCCAUGGCGUUGGUUGAGUCUCACUCUCACGCAGUGGUCCACGUGAAGUGCACUCAAAUCUUUACCUCUAGAGACACCCUCCACACUGCUCUCCGAUCAAGGUAAGGUAUAUCUGAUUCUGUGCCCCCUCUCUUAGGCUAGUCCACAGAACCUCCUCUGCAAGAAUUUUGGAUUAUUUUAUCUACCACCUGAUUUAUAAAAUCUUUAUCUGCAUGACAUGGCAAUUUAUCGCAACCUAGCCUCUCAAGGCUGAAUACACAGUACAAAUAAUUCGAACACCAAAAAUCAGUUUAGCCAUUCAUGCUCAUAUAUUGUCAUAAGCCAUUCAAUUUAAAACCAUAAAUUUACAACACAUCAAGUGGUCUUCAAUUACUCUAUUUUCAAAAUCAUUAUUUAAUUUAUAAAAAUUUAUAAAAUCACAUUUAUUCAAAAAGCAUAACAAUUUACCAUUUAAACCCAUUUUACCAUAAAAUCACAAAAACGAAUAAAAACUACUUUAGAUAAUUAAGACGAUAGUAAGGUUACUCACAGUAUCAGGAGUAGAAAUACUCCUAGUCCCAGUCUUUGGUGUAAUCUCUUUAUUUUUAUCAAAUAGCUCACCACCUAUACAUCACACAUGACACAAAAUUCAAUAAUUUGUGUCAAUUUAUCAUAAACUAUUUCAGGCUCUCUAAAUCUAAAUGAAUGCAUGCGAUGGGAUGCAAAAUGUCCGAUUAAUCACUUAAACGUGAUAUUUAACCUAAGUCACACUAUACUCGAUCUAAUCGGCUAAAAUCUCCAAUUUAACUCUAAAUCAAUUUUUCUCACUUUCUACACUUCAAUUAUACCUAAAUUACCUCAGUGACUAUGAAUGAAAUUCAAUUUAUCAGCCCCGGGUCAAUAAUCACACAUGUCUAUAUGUUGAGCAAAAAUUCAGAUUUUCACACCAAAAUUUCUCAUUUAAUUUCUAGCCUCACCAAACAUCAAAUAUCAUUAAUUUCAGCCACAAUAUCCUCCCUAGAAAAUUCGUCCAAUGAAGAACACAUAAGGAAUGGGUGAUUUUCAAGCUUGAUUCUUACACUAAACACCAUAAAUCAUUGAAAACAUCCAUAUAACUUAAAAUCCAACCAAACCAUCACCAAACUCUCUCUCUCUAGAAUUCGGCCUUCAUGGGUUUCAUCAUGCCAACUCAAUUUUCAGCCAGGGAAAUAAGAAAAUAAAGCAUGGGUAUGCUAGAUCUCAAGCAAAAAUUGAAAAAUCAUACCUUAUCUUGCUUGAUUCCUUGAAAUUUCCACAAUUUUUCUUGAAAUUCUCUUAUCUAGGGUUUUUUCUAGUUUUUCCUUUCUUUCCU